GAGAACUUGUGGAAAAGGGUCGCAUGCGGAGCCCUCAACGCAUGGGGGCCACCUUCCAUAUUAUGCCCCCUUUUACUUGGAAGAUGCUCCUUCCAGCUUCUCCCUGCCCCUUCUCUUCUCUCCUUUUGCCUCAGGCACCAAAAGUUCUGUUGUCAAAAGAAUAGCUAAGUCUUUAGGGAGAGCUCAGAGCCAAUUGUUCCUCCCUGGGGCCACCACUACUGACCCAAGAUCACAGUAGAGAAGAAACUGAACUGGAGAGAGACCCAGAGGAAUGAAUUCCAAAUGGCAGCCUUUCAGACUCACGUCUACUUAGUACUAACAAUCGUUACAAUUAUAGUAACAUUUCCUGGCAUAUAUGAUGUGAUAUGCUCUGUGCCCCAUGUUUUGUACGCAUUAUCCCCUUUAAUUCUUACCACAAACUUAUAAGAUAGGUGUUUCAGCAUGUCCUUUUUACGGGUGAGGAAACUGAGGAUCUGUUGAGAAGGAGGCCAGGAAUAAAAUGUGUCCUUCAUUCAUGUGAUUCCAAGGCGACUUCAUAGAAGGGUGUAUGUAAGCGUGUCAGCAAGGUUGAAAGGAAGGCGAGGGCACAUGACAGAGAGACCUGGGAAAACAUUAUGGUGGAGGAGUCAUUUGAACAUGGCCUUCUGGAUUAGUUUGGGUCUCAACAGGCAGAGAUGAGAAGGGAAGAAAGCAUUAGAGGCUGGAAGGAAUCACCAGGAGCCACGGCAGAGAAGCAUGGGAUUUGUUUUGGUGACACGGACGUGUUGGUAAUGCAUCACCGUAUGAGGUAGGUGCUACCUAUCAUUAUUUGCAUUUUACAGAGGAGGAAAAUGAGGUACAGAGAGGGUGAUUAAUUUGGCUGAGGUCACACAGCUAAGCGGUAGAGCUGGGAUUUGAACUGCCAUCUGUCUGACUCCAGAGCCUUUUCAGGGUGGAGAUCACAUAUGGGUCUCAAAUCAGUCAGCAACUAAGGGAAGGCUUUAGUAUUUGCAGCUUCUGGGAAGAUUCUAGGCCCAGCAGCCACCCAUGCCCAAAGCAGCAAUACCAGUGCUCCUCCCCCCACCCCCAAAAUUUGUGGGGGCCAGGAGGGAGAGAAUAGUGGGAACAGGACAAUUUUCAGAUUCUCAGAUAACUGCAGUGAGGCUGUACAUUUGCAGAGCACCUACAUUUUUCCUCCCUCCUUCCUGGGAUCAGGUUACUCUCUUGCAUUCUUUUACAUUUCAUAAUAAUGGCUUGUUAACCACAUGCUGGAUCCUGAGAUGACAAUGAGGUCUGGAGUUGGUUUGGAAGCCUGCUGGAGGUCACGUAGCAUUGAGUGGUGGAUGGGGGUUUCAAUCCCAGGCUGAGCCAUUCACCAUGGCUUUGCUGCACCCCCCCCCCCAUACCCCCUCGCCAUGCUUCUUUUGCUUCUCACAAUGGCCCAAGACAGGUCUUUGGGCUCAGUAAAUCUGACCUGCUUGCCAUGACUUGAGGUUGGUCAGCCAGCCCAGAGGCCAGAUCCUGACUCCUGGUCCAGUGCCCUCUCUGCUGCCCCCACCUCCCAAGUCUGUCCUGAGGCAGCAGGUGCUGAUGGACCCCAAGUGUCCACUGUACCUCCACAGUCAGGGUCUUGGCCUCACAUUUUUGUCCCCUGGGAGCUCUGCCCAGAGAGGGCAGGAAACCCAGGUCACUGGUGGAUCUGUUCAUGUGGGUUUUAGGAUCAAUGGAAUCCUGUCUCAUUUCACGUGUGAACAGAACCCCCCUUGACCCUGGAAGGACAUUUGUAGAACUGGGGCAAUAUUCACAGAUGGACCAGGGAAUGAUUUUAAUGCACAUACUGAAAUCUCAUUUAGAGGAAUGUAAGGUAUGAGGGGCACCAGAGGGGAUUCCCCCUGCGAAUUUAAGGGAAUUUCCAAGGUGGCAGUGAGAGUUGGGGGAGGACAGAAGGGAGUGUGUACAUUCAUUCCUUCAUUCAGUUUUUCAUCUCUUCGCUCAGCACAAACACCCUGAGCAAGCUGUGUUCUAUUCUGUGCCAGGCUGUGUUCAAGGCAUGAGAGGAACAGCAGGGAAGAAAACAGACAAAAUGCUCGCCCUCACAGUGCCCUUAUUCUAUUGCUGAUAGCGGUGCGGUGGGGUAGGGUGAGCAAAUACAAUGAAUACGUAGUAAAUUAGGUGAUGGUGACAGUGACUUAACAAAUCAGGGAAGGGAGGAGGGGAGGGCUGGUGGAGUUGAAUCUGUCUGCAUACGGACCUUCAUUCUAGUUCCAGGUGGAGCUAGAAUCAGGUUGUUUUUGUUUUUGUUUUUCUAAACAAGCAGGUCAUUAUUCAGAAAACCCAGAUUCACCCUAUAUGGGUAAAAUGCAGGUAAGUCCAACACCUGGCAGGGGACUCUCAGAGCCAAGGAGGGACUUAAGGGUGAAAUUAUUCUCUGCUCCAUACAGGGCCAGUUCACGCAGAGCCGGGGACCCCAGGCCCACCCUUGACUGGUGGGUUGGGAACAGCACUGACCCGGGUGGUCAAGACCAGUAUGGAUGUGUGUUCUGCUGCCACAGGCUGCCCUGAAGAGACAGAGGGUGGGCGCUGUGGUUAUUCCCGUUUUGCUGGUGAAGACAGCGAAGCUUGGAGAGGUGAAGAAGCUAGGUUGUGCAGUUUGUGAGCGGAGGGGCCUGGAAGGGAGCCCUAGCAGGCUGAUGUCAAGCCCUCCCACAGCUAGUCAUUGUGCCACAUGGCCGCCACCAAGUGUGUUCCUUCGUGGAAGCGGGACCUUCAUGAACCUCAUGUGUUUCCCUGGCCUCAUAGUCAAAACACCUGGGGCUCAUCCCCAGCUCCUCCACAGGCUGGUGUGUGACUGGGGCUCUUUUACCCGUGUGAUGGCGACACUGCUUCACUGACCGUUAGGUUUAGAGCCCCUCCUUUUGGACCAGGAUGCGUCGUGGUAAAUGCCUUGGCCAACAGAGUACAAUGGAAGUAAUACUAUGUGACUUCUGAGACUAGAUCAUGAAAGUGUCCGCCUGCCUCUUUCACUCAAUCUUGAGACAUGUGCCCCGGGGAGCCUUGUGUCAACAGUUUCUUAAUCCUUGAAAUGGGAGGGUUAAAAGAGUUAAAGCACACAAACACUUAACUCCAGCGCCUGCUACAUGAUGAACACUCAUUAAAUAUCACCAGGAUCCUGACCAUCCAAGCAAUUUGAGAAGGAAAAGAAAAAUUGAUGGAAUUGUACUUUCUUAAAUAAUGGAAAAAAGAAAUUCACACUCAUGGAAUAAAUCGGAAUGAAUUAGCUGUU